rnacentral:rRNA from 1 species
AGUGAACGCUGGCGGUAGGCCUAACACAUGCAAGUCGAACGGCGGCACAGUAAGAGCUUGCUCUUACGGGUGGCGAGUGGCGGACGGGUGAGGAAUACAUCGGAAUCUACUUUUUCGUGGGGGAUAACGUAGGGAAACUUACGCUAAUACCGCAUACGACCUACGGGUGAAAGCAGGGGAUCUUCGGACCUUGCGCGAUUGAAUGAGCCGAUGUCGGAUUAGCUAGUUGGCGGGGUAAAGGCCCACCAAGGCGACGAUCCGUAGCUGGUCUGAGAGGAUGAUCAGCCACACUGGAACUGAGACACGGUCCAGACUCCUACGGGAGGCAGCAGUGGGGAAUAUUGGACAAUGGGCGCAAGCCUGAUCCAGCCAUACCGCGUGGGUGAAGAAGGCCUUCGGGUUGUGAAGCCCUUUUGUUGGGAAAGAAAAGCAGCAGGUUAAUACCCCGCUGUUCUGACGGUACCCAAAGAAUAAGCACCGGCUAACUUCGUG